rnacentral:lncRNA from 1 species
UUUGAAAGAGUGCCAUUGGAAUCUGUUUUUCAUUAUUUGGGACUUGAUCUGUAUACUCUAGGGAUCAGCGCUACCCUUGAAAAUUUCUUUUUAUUAUACCCCCUUAUUUGAUUAGAAUUGCCAGGAGUUUUCCCUUUUUUUUAGAAUGCAUGGAAGCAGCUUUUAGCCGUAUGAUAAGCUUUUAGUUAAGCGAAUAAAAAGGAAAUCAGAUAGUUAGGUCUUCUUGCUUUUUUGUAGCUUCGUGUAUAUGGUGGCACCCCUGUUACCUUGUUG